AUUUCGUCAAACUAAAAAACUCUUUCGAGAUUCCGGAAAACUGAACUGUCAAAAUAACGUGUGCUUCACUAACAGAUUUUUUCGUGUUUCGGUGUAAAAAGAAAAGGAACUGGUUUUGCGGCUGAUUAUUAUUAUGAAAACUGAAAUCACAAAGAAUAUUUAAAGAAAACAAUUAAUGCUUUUUUCAAUCAAUUCUGUAUGUUACUAACUCGCUUCGCAGGAUGGAAGUUGCAGAGUGAUAGAUGUUACUUUAUUACCUGGAAGCAAUUCAAGUCUCCAGUUUUUACCAAAGCUGUGUUUAGUUUAAUCAAUUAACUUAGUAAUUAAUAAAAUAAAUUGUAAACUUGAUCGCUUUAAUCACAUUCUGGGUUAUCUGAAGAAAAAAAACAAAAAAUCAAUCUCGGUGUUUUGAUGUGUCACCUAGAUUUUUACCGAGAUCUCGGCUGUCGAAAUCUCGGUAAUUUAUUCUACCGUACUAUCCGAGAGUAAUUUAUCCGAGAUGUUAGAAGUGACUGGAGCGACUGUCAGUUGACUGAAUUGCUGCUAAAUGUAUAUCGGACGGUUGAUGGGCGGAUUGAUGGACCGAUGGGACACCUGAAUGAAUUGUGGAGGCACAUUCGCGAUAUAGUUAACAAUACAGCGUGAGGGUGUUGGUCAUAACCAAAGGAACCACACGCAACGGAUGGCUCGAUGCGAAGUGUUGAAAGGUUAUAGAUGAGGAAACUGGGCUUGUGCUCUCACAAAGCAACAAGAAAGGACGGCUUCCCCAGCCGAACUUUUGAAAGCUGAGAGUGAGCAGUUGUUGUGUGCAAUCCAAUAAGGGGUUUUAAUUUAAAAAAAUACCUGCUUUUUCUUAUACUAAUCGAUAACCGACCUUUCAGUAGGCAUUACGUAAUUUGUGUUAGAUCUCUAGGAGUUUUUUUUUAUUUUAAAAUUGAAAAAUCAUAUUUGUUUUAAAUUUUCACUAACUAGCUAGUAGUGCAUAAAGUGACAUUGCUGUUGCUUGCUUUGGGGGAAUAUAAUCCUGAUAGUGAACAAAGUGACAUUUCUGCUGCUGGCUUGUGGAAAAUAUAACCCUGGUUUACGUGUCAUGACAGGGAUGCGAGAUGUGAAGUCAUGUCUUAAUAUUGAAAAUAUUUGAGCGCGUGUGAAUCAGUGGAAGCCUAAUGGUCGGUUGAUUAACCACACUCGAUUUAACGUGUCAUUGGAAGUAUUGUGAACUUUCAACGGGGACCGUGUUUAAAGAUUUCCUAUGUAUAAAGACAUUGUUUUGUGGAGUGUGAAGAUAUUUGAAAAAUGACCUGGCCUCCCCGUGUCGUGAUUUCUUGACGGUAGGGUCUUAAAAUCACUUACAGUUGUUAAAAUUCGAAAUCGAUUUUUUUAAUAGUUUUGUUGUUUAAAUUAAGAAAAGUCAGCAGAAUAUGUAUUUCGUUUGACAUUUCUUAUCAAAAAAAAAAAAAAAAAAUAAUAAUAUACAUACCCCUAAAACACCCUAUUGGCUCAUUUCAAAAGUUUAGCCCGAAGACAAGCUUCAAGGGGACUGGUUGGACGAACUCAUUUGCCUAGUCUAUUAAAAAGAGCCACCGACUUGAUUGCAGCAAGUAUCGAAGCAUGGCACUCCACAAUGCUGCCCAUAAGAUUUUCUCCUGAAUACUGGUAAUAGACUAAACUGCCGUUCCAAGCAUAGUUGUCCCAGCGUGCAUAAAGUUUGUGUAGAACAUGGGACUACUAUAGUUGGAACGGCAGUAAAGUCGUUGCAAGAAGUCUUUAUUGGUUAAUGCCAGUUCGAUUUUCGGAAAGGGCGAUCUACAAUGGUGCUAAGAGAAGUAAACAUGUUGUUUAACCUUACUUGGAGGGUGUAGUACGGAGGGAUGACGCGCAAAAAAGCGGUACUAUUAUCUCGAAGUCUCACAUGAACCUUGGUUUUGCAGAUGAUAUUGAUAUUGUCGGUAUUACCCACAGAGCAGUGAAAGUGACAUUCGUGCCUUUUGCUGCGAGAAUUGGACUUAUCAUCAACCCUACACCAAAACAUAUAGUUCAUGGUGGCUAGCAGAGAGCGUGGAAGUUCGUCGAGUCUUGCUACAGAGAUUGUUGUAGAUGGGGAUAUCUAUGAAUUAGUUGAUGGAUUUGUGUACCUUGGUACACGUGACGUUAUCCACGAUGUAAAGAAACCGAUAGCAGCCGCAAACAUGAUCUUUUGCGGUUAAAGUAGCUAGGAGAGAUACCGUAGCAUAAAAACCUGUACGAAAUUUGCGCUCUACAGGACACUGAUUCUUCCGGUGAUACUAUAUGUUCAUUAGUGUUGGUCGCAGAAGGAGACCGACUCUGGAGUACCUACUUGGAGUUUUCGAGCGUAGGAUGCUGUGUUCAAUACUUUUCGACAAACCGGAGAAUGGAAUUAUCGUUGGAUGGGUGGAGUGCAUGCAGACGUUCUAUCGGCGGUGUUAGGAGAGUAGAUUAGCUCAAGAAAGAAUUAUGUGGAGACGAGUUCUGGAUGCGAUAGAGGGUCUUUAAUGACCUGUCGGUUUAGAAGUAGAAAGAAAGUAGGUAAGUCAAUUGGAAACCAUCAACUUAUCUUGUCAUGGGUGCUUAUUACGGGAGUCGCUUCACGGUGAAAUAUAUUUCACUCUCACGCUCACUUCACUUUUUUAGACCUAUUCCCGAUUCCACCUCAAGUGAGGUGACAAAAAUCACCUCCGUGGAGUGAGAUUGACAGUGAAGUGAAAUUGAGAAUAGGACAAGUGAAAUGAGAUUGUUUCCCAGCUCAAAAAUCUCUAAGUCUCAGAAAGUCGUUUUUUCCGUUUUUUUCAGAUAACACCAGAUCUUGACGUGCUCUGCAUUUCUAAGACAUUCGGCAUAAAAAAAAUGUUUUUUUCGCUAUCGAAAAUUUCCUGAACUAGUUUGCAUUUUUUUAUCGGGCAAAAAAAUGAAAAUUUGACCGCUUUAAGGCACGGAUCAAAUUCUGAUUCGUUUCGUUACUGAAGAAUAAAUCCAAUAUUUACCAUUAGAUCACAAAUCAAUCAACUUUAAAACUUAUGGCAUCUUCGUGAAAUCAUUUCACCCUUCAAAAUGGUCCAAAAUUUCCGGUCUCACUUCACUGAUAUGACACUCAUAAUAACCCAGAUUCCGCAGCAGAUGUCACUUUGGGACGUUUUUUCACUUACGUGAGUCCCGUAAUAGGACUUUAUUCACUUCACUCUGAUUUCACCGUGAAGUGACUCCCAUAA